UACAGAGGUCUCAAGCGUUGUUCGGAUUCAUUGGGCGUAAAGGGCGCGUAGGCUGCGGGGCAAGUCGGGUGUGAAAGCCCGGGGCUCAACCCCGGAAUGUCUUUUGAAACUGCCGAGCUAGAGUGCGGAAGAGGCAACUGGAAUUCCCAGUGUAGCGGUGAAAUGCGUAGAUAUUGGGAAGAACACCUGAGGCGAAGGCGGGUUGCUGGGCCGACACUGACGCUGAGGCGCGAAAGCCAGGGGAGCGAACGGG
rnacentral:rRNA from 1 species